rnacentral:rRNA from 1 species
AGCAGCCGCGGUAAUUCCAGCUCCAAUAGCGUAUAUUAAAGUUGUUGCAGUUAAAAAGCUCGUAGUUGAAUUUCGGGGUUAGUAGGUUGGUCAUGCCUCUGGUAUGUACUGGUCUCACUGAUUCCUCCUUCCUGAUGAGCCGUAAUGCCAUUAAUUUGGUGUUGCGGGGAAUUUGGACUGUUACUUUGAAAAGAUUAGAGUGUUUAAAGCAAACUAACGCUUGAAUACAUUAGCAUGGAAUAAUGAAAUAGGACGUUCGAUCCUAUUUUGUUGGUUUCUAGGAUUGACGUAAUGAUUAAUAGGGAUAGUUGGGGGCAUUAGUAUUCAAUUGUCAGAGGUGAAAUUCUUGGAUUUAUUGAAGACUAACUACUGCGAAAGCAUUUGCCAAGGAUGUUUUCAUUAAUCAAGAACGAAAGUUAGGGGAUCGAAGACGAUCAGAUACCGUCGUAGUCUUAACCAUAAACUAUGCCGACUAGGGAUCGGAUGAUGUUAAUUUUUUAAUGACUCAUUCGGCGCCUUACG